GACGAACGCUGGCGGCGUGCCUAACACAUGCAAGUCGAGCGAUGAAGCCCUUCGGGGUGGAUUAGCGGCGGACGGGUGAGUAACACGUGGGUAACCUGCCUCAAAGAGGGGGAUAGCCUCCCGAAAGGGAGAUUAAUACCGCAUAACAUUAGUUUUUCGCAUGGAGAACUAAUUAAAGGAGUAAUCCGCUUUGAGAUGGACCCGCGGCGCAUUAGCUAGUUGGUGAGGUAAAGGCUCACCAAGGCGACGAUGCGUAGCCGACCUGAGAGGGUGAUCGGCCACAUUGGAACUGAGACACGGUCCAGACUCCUACGGGAGGCAGCAGUGGGGAAUAUUGCACAAUGGGCGAAAGCUUGAUGCAGCAACGCCGCGUGAGUGAUGAAGGCCUUCGGGUUGUAAAGCUCUGUCUUUUGGGACGAUAAUGACGGUACCAAAGGAGGAAGCCACGGCUAACUACGUGCCAGCCGCCGCCGUAACAC
rnacentral:rRNA from 1 species